GAAGAAACUUGUAAAAUUACUGCUAAUAAUUUUUUGUUAGUUUAUAUCUAACUUUCUUCU
rnacentral:tRNA from 1 species